CGGCCACAUUGGGACUGAGAUACGGCCCAGACUCCUACGGGAGGCAGCAGUGGGGAAUAUUGCACAAUGGGCGGAAGCCUGAUGCAGCGACGCCGCGUGAGGGAUGACGGCCUUCGGGUUGUAAACCUCUUUCAGCAGGGACGAAGCGUAAGUGACGGUACCUGCAGAAGAAGCACCGGCUAACUACGUGCCAGCAGCCGCGGUAAUACGUAGGGUGCGAGCGUUGUCCGGAAUUACUGGGCGUAAAGGGCUCGUAGGUGGUUUGUCGCGUCGUCUGUGAAAUUCUGGGGCUUAACUCCGGGCGUGCAGGCGAUACGGGCAUAACUUGAGUGCUGUAGGGGUAACUGGAAUUCCUGGUGUAGCGGUGAAAUGCGCAGAUAUCAGGAGGAACACCGAUGGCGAAGGCAGGUUACUGGGCAGUUACUGACGCUGAGGAGCGAAAGCAUGGGUAGCGAACAGGAUUAGAUACCCUGGUAGUCCAUGCCGUAAACGGUGGGCGCUAGGUGUGGGGUUCCUUCCACGGGCUCCGCGCCGUAGCUAACGCAUUAAGCGCCCCGCCUGGGGAGUACGGCCGCAAGGCUAAAACUCAAAGGAAUUGACGGGGGCCCGCACAAGCGGCGGAGCAUGUGGAUUAAUUCGAUGCAACGCGAAGAACCUUACCUGGGCUUGACAUACAUCAGAUCGCUGCAGAGAUGUAGUUUCCCUUUGUGGUUGGUGUACAGGUGGUGCAUGGUUGUCGUCAGCUCGUGUCGUGAGAUGUUGGGUUAAGUCCCGCAACGAGCGCAACCC
rnacentral:rRNA from 1 species